rnacentral:lncRNA from 1 species
AGGUGUUCUACUCUGCUAGCCAGCACCUCUCCUAAACAGGUGUUCUACUCUGCUAGCCAGCACCUCUCCUAAACAGGUGUUCUACUCUGCCAGCCAGCACCUCUCCUAAACAGGUGUUCUACUCUGCCAGCCAGCACCUCUCCUAAACAGGUGUUCUACUCUGCUAGCCAGCACCUCUCCUAAACAGGUGCACUACUCCGCUAGCCAGCACCUCUCCUAAACAGGUGUUCUACUCUGCUAGCCAGCACCUCUCCUAAACAGGUGUUCUACUCUGCCAGCACCUCUCCUAAACAGGUGUUCUACUCCGCUAGCCAGCACCUCUCCUAAACAGCUUCCCGUCCCUCUCCUCGCCCCAACCUGGGCUUGAACCAGAGACCUUCUGCACACAUCGAUAACAGCCACCCCACGAAGCAUCGUUACCCAUCGCUCCACAAAAGCCGCGGCCCUUGCAGAGCAAAGGGGAAACAACUACUUCAAGGUCUCAGAGAGAGUGACGUCACCCGAUUGAAACGCUAUUAGCGCGCACCACCGCUAACUAGCUAGCCAUUUCACAUCGGUUACACCAGCACAAGUCAAGAUUCUAAAAUGGAUAAUUUAGGAACACAUAGUCUUAUGACCUGUUACAAUGAAAACAUGCCGUCCAUCUCUAUCGUUGUCAAAUCUGUGAUUGGCUGAAAGCGGAAGAAGGAAUGCACAGCUGAAUAUGUGCGUGUACAAUUUUUUUUUUUUAAGUACUGUAUUUUCAGCUCUUAUGAUGUUUCUGGGCGUUUCUGUUUCCUUUUUUUUUAGUAAGUAACGAUGUGAAUUAACUGAAAGAAUAUUCUAGUGUGACAGUGUUCUAGUCUAGUCAUGACGUUUGCGUUUUUUUAAUGUAAAAUGUUUUUUGUUGUACUGUAUGUGUGUUUAUAGUUGUGUUAGUGUAUGUAAGUUGUUUUGUCUGAAACGUUGUUCCCUCUGCUACUAUUGGACCAGGUCUCUCUUGGAAAAGAGAUGUUAUCUCAAUGAGAGAAAACCUGUAUAAAUAAAGGUACAAUUUAAAAAAUGAAAUUCUACAGCAUUGAAACAUAUUGGUAUGAGCAAAACUGUUAGGAUUUGAAAUGUGACUUGGAUAUGGGAUUGUUUAUUAAUGAAUCUGUCGUUAUUUAAAUGGAUCUGUUGUAUAACUGGUUUAAUCCUCAACAUAAGGUUAUUUUCAUAUUGUAAAAAAGGCUUUCGUAGCUUUAAACUGAAUAAUAUUGUUUCCUUGUUGGUCGUCUCUUAACAAAUACAAUUAAAACCUCCCACAAAUGUUGUAUCUUCUCAAACAAUCAAUCAAUCAAAAAUAUAUUUAUCUCUUAAAUUGUUUUUAUUUUUUAUAUGUGUCAGUGAUAUGCAGAGUUUUUGAUCUUGAGUCACAAUUAGCAAAUUGGCAUCAGCAUAAGGCAAAUGUUGGAAAUGUUGCCAUUAUAUUCUCCACUGCUUGUCCUCUCCUCAUACAUUUAC